UACGUAGGUGGCAAGCGUUUGUCCGGAAUUAUUGGGCGUAAAGAGCUCGUAGGCGGUCUGUUGCGUCGGCUGUGAAAACCCGGGGCUCAACUCCGGGCCUGCAGCCGAUACGGGCAGACUAGAGUUCGGCAGGGGAGACUGGAAUUCCUGGUGUAGUGGUGAAAUGCGUAGAGAUCCGGAGGAACACCAAAGGCGAAGGCAGUGUCCUGGGGGAGUACCUGACGGCUCAGGGUGCGAAAAGCCAGGGGAGCGGAACGGGG
rnacentral:rRNA from 1 species